AUUGAACGCUGGCGGCAGGCCUAACACAUGCAAGUCGAGCGGAUGAAGGGAGCUUGCUCCUGGAUUCAGCGGCGGACGGGUGAGUAAUGCCUAGGAAUCUGCCUGGUAGUGGGGGAUAACGUCCGGAAACGGGCGCUAAUACCGCAUACGUCCUGAGGGAGAAAGUGGGGGAUCUUCGGACCUCACGCUAUCAGAUGAGCCUAGGUCGGAUUAGCUAGUUGGUGGGGUAAAGGCCUACCAAGGCGACGAUCCGUAACUGGUCUGAGAGGAUGAUCAGUCACACUGGAACGGAGACACGGUCCAGACUACUACGGGAGGCAGCAGUGGGGAAUAUUGGACAAUGGGCGAAAGCCUGAUCCAGCCAUGCCGCGUGUGUGAAGAAGGUCUUCGGAUUGUAAAGCACUUUAAGUUGGGAGGAAGGGCAGUAAGUUAAUACCUUGCUGUUUUGACGUUACCAACAGAAUAAGCACCGGCUAACUUCGUG
rnacentral:rRNA from 1 species